rnacentral:rRNA from 1 species
UACAGGGGGUGCAAACGUUGUUCGGAAUCACUGGGCAUAAAGCGUACGUAGGCGGCGUCGUAAGUGUCGGAUGAAAUCCCACGGCUUACCCGUGGAACGGUCCGGCAUACUGCGGUGCUAGAGGAUGGUAGAGGAGAGCGGAACUCUUGGUGGAGCGGUGAAAUGCGUAGAUAUCAAGAGGAACACCGGUGGCGAAGGCGGCUCUCUGGUCCAUGUCUGACGCUGAGGUACGAAAGCCAGGGGAGCAAACGGG